AAUCGCAAGGCUAGAAAUUAAAUUUAGUGACUAUAGCGUGUAUUAUGGUUAUUGUUUUAUAUAACGUUUAUAAUUGAUGCGCAUUCCAAAGCAUUAAUUUGUCGGGGGCUUCAAUGGUUAAGUGCGUCAAUGAAGUUAAGUUAAUAGUUAAUAGUUUCGUGGACGAACACGCUACUUAGAAAAUCGGAAACGCUUACACUUCAAACAUUGUAUAUUUUCUUCCUUGUUUCAUGUAUGUACGUGUUAGUGUUCUGCACCACAACAAGGAGAAAUAAAAUGAGGUGGCAAGGACUACUUGGAUUGUUCCUAUUGUUUAAACAGUCGACUAAAGCUGAACAAUACACCAUGGCUUCUUUCAUCGUUCGAUCUUGCGGAACCAAGGCUAACUUACAAGAAUGCACAUUUUGAGGUUGCUGAAGAGAUUGAUGUUUUAUCAAACAAUAUGGAAUCUUGGAUAGGAUACGUUUCAGAGAAAGUUCCAUAUUUAUUUCAAGGUUGUGCACACGUUCAAAUUACUGAAACGUACAGUGUAGCAAAGAUUGGCUACUGCCAGAACCAGUGCGGGCAUGCAAAAACAUUUGGAAUAAAGGCGAAAAAUGGCGAAGAUAUAUUAAACCCUGCAUCGCCAAUGGACUGUAUUUGUGUCAAUACAUCUUUACAUGAAAUCCCACUUAGACAUUUCGACAAUGACAAAAAGAAUCUUUGUGAAAAAGACGCUUAUGCAAUGUUUACUCAAAUCAGUGUAAACAACUCGACGGUGUUCAAUAGUGGUGCAGAAAACAUCAGCGAUUGUCUUACAUAUAAGUACCCAGCCUUCAAGUGGAAACCAUGUACCAGCGUUAACAAUCAUAAAAUCCUUCAGCAAGAGCACAUGUUCUUCCGAAUUGGAGCAAAACUUGGAUAGAAGGAAAUGUAAUUUGCUUAGAGAAAAACAUGUCUCCAGCUUCCAUCUCAAGUAUUGAAGCAUCUAGCUUAAAUGAAGGUCAAACACAGCACGAAACCUGGACAGGGAUAUUUAGAGGAGACACCUUGAUUAAUAAGGCAGGCAUGCGCACAUUAGGACCAAAACAAUAUUCGGGGGCGCAAUAUGCGUUUUUAAAAGGAAAUGAAAGGAGGCUUAAAUUUGCAAAAACUGAAGCCAAACAGGCACUGUGUUUUUCAGUAGUGAACCGAUCAUCGUUCAUACCUACUUCAACCGAAAUACCAAAUCAAACCAGUUAUACGGAAGGAGAAGCAACUACCACCAAAUCUAAAGAUAAGUCACCAGCCUUAGUAGCAGGCAUCGGUGUGUUAGCUGGGGUACUGGUUGUAGAAGGGAUAGGUUUUGCAGUAGUCAUGCUUCGAAGACGAGGAAUUAUUUCCUACUGUGCGAAAAAUAAAACACGCGAUAGGACGGAUGAUAAGCAUGACGACAUGUUGCCAAAUGCAGCGUCAAAUGUAGCAGGAGUCGAUAAAUCUGUGGCUAACCAUAACUACUUUGUACUUGAAAAACAAACCGAGUAAGUGAUCGAUCAUUUCAACAGAUCAGGGGAUCUUGAGAAAGACAUUACUGAUGAGAACAUUUACCAUUCUAUUGAUGAACAGGCGGCGGAACCGCAGGGAAACUUCAAAGUCGACUGUAGUGAUUAUGAUUGCACCACUGACGAGGCCGCAAAAUCUCGUGAUAUUACCAAUGACAAUAUAUACAAUAAACUGAAGCUUGACCGCCAGGGAAGCUAGGAACAUGUUUAGGGAUCAUGUCAGAUUAAUAACAUCACGGCUAAAAACGAUUACGAUACGACUGCAACUUUUAAGGCGAUAAGUCCUCUUGGAAACGACGACUAUGACCAUGUGGGUGGCAUGGGGCAUGCUACUGCUCUCUCGUCAAGCGAUGACAAUUAUAGCUCAGCAGUGAAGUUCGCGGCGCAUGCAAGAGGCUCUGUCGCAGAAUUGGACAAGCGUGAUGACAGUCAUGAGCGACAUCAGAGAUAUGUCCGCCUCUUACAAAUUUAUAAACGAACACGGGUUCUUCAUGUUACUCAGGACUUAUAAACACGUACAUUUUAACAGGUUGGUGAUGUAAGAUAUCACCGUAUUUCUCUUCCAACUUUUUCGGUGUGUAUCCAUAAACAUUUUAUUUUAUCAUGCAUGUAAAUGGUGUAAGAUUGAAAAAUUAAUCAAUUCUGUUCCCAGAAAGUACAAUUAUGCAAACCGCCACUCGAAUUCAACGAUGUUCAAACAUUUCUAAGGCAACUCAGCACACUUACUUUCUAUGGAGAAAUAGUUUAUUUCCCAAUGUGGUUGUAAUUAAUAUUUUUGACGAAGGUAAGACUAGAUUUGCAUACUAUUUAUAAUAGUAUUUUGAAUCGCAAUUUAGAGCAAUUGCAUUAUCAUUGUACAUUUCCCAGUAGUAUGGGGUUAUACGGGAUAUGGAAUAUGUUAGCCAUAUGUUCAUUUAAUGUGAGUUGUUAUAUGUUUGCGGUAUUUGAAAACUAAAUUUUACUAGUAAUUAUUCAUACACACAAUAAUUCACUAUAUGAAUGCAAAAAGACAUUGCACGUAUGCAUUAGUCAUGCUUGUAUAUAUCUGUGUAUAAACAUAACCUGCCGUAAAUUUCUAUCAAUACAAUUUUUUGUUGUUCUAAUGAGUCAUCGCAAAUCAAUUUAAUACAAAUUAAUAAUGUUGAUCGUAAUAUCAUGACUGAAACUACUUGAAUAAAAAUUAAUCAAGACUUUGACGUAUAAUAUGGACCUGAUUACACUCCGUUUCAAAUAAUGUCUUUUUAAAAAGGGAUCGGUAUAUAUGCAUGCGACACUCUAUUUAUUUGUAUAGCUUCUGUUAAGUUCAUUAAUCAUAAAUUUUUGUCAGACGGUACGUUCUGUACACAUGUGUUUUUAGGAAUGCCAUUAUACCAAUUUUAACUGAUUACUUAAACAGGCGUAUACAAACACUUCAUAGAGAACUAUUAUACCCGUUCUACGGUAUGUUUUAUUUGGAAAUAUUGGUUCCUCGUCAAAUAGCGCCAACGUACACUGCUUUAAUUCAGUCUAACAACUCUAAACGCAUUGCACAUCUUUACAAGUAGUUUCAAUAGUUAUAGUCUAUAGUCAUUGAUAUCGAUACACAUAUUACUGAGACAAAAUCCGGCCGCCCAGUUGUUUGGUUCAUAUUAAAUUUACUUGUCUUACUUCCAUUUUAAAAAGAAGUUUGAUUUCUGUAUAAACACCGGAACAAAAUGGACUUAUUCAUCGUUUGUAAAAAUGGCUUUUAUCUUAAAAUGUGUAACAGAAUCAAAACAAUGUAUGGAUUCCAGAAUAACAAAAAUACCAUGAUUUACUUAGACCCAUGUUUGAAAAGAAGGUUCAUUUAGAGAAAAUCAUCAAACGAAGUCGGUAAAAUACUAAGGCAAUUGUAACUCUGUUUAAAGAUGUUUAUUAAGAUAAUACGUGUAUUUUUAACAUGGCGUUUAAAAUUAGCUGUUUAUUUUAAUAACCUAAAAUGACCAAAAGUAGCGCGUUAGAUUUUUUUACCGAACAAAGUAAAGGCAAUCAUGUUAACUUUAUAUUAUUUGCGAUUAUAAUUAAUUACACAAUGUUUUAGUCUCAUCAAUAUUUAUCGAUUUCACGUUAUUCAUGUUGUCCGGGUUGUUUAUUGUGUUAAGUUUCCUUUUAAGUCAAUACAUUUGGAAUAUGUAUGUGAUUUGGAGCUCCAUAAAACCGUUAAUGCCUCAAUUACCCCCACAAUAUCUCCAAAUCUGUCCAUGGCCUUUACCCAGUUGUGGUCAUUUUAUGUGUGUACUAAGCCGUCUUGUCAAGUGUAUUUCUUUGUGUCUCCCAAUUCGGCUAUUGGUUCCUUGUCGAAAAUAAAGGACCGCAUGGUAAAUUAGUUUUCUAUCCUUCUGUUUCAGUUGAGGUGUAUUGUUUUUUUGUGUGUAUAUUUGUAACUAUACACAUUUAAUGACAUAAACAUUCAAAAUCACUGAACAAGGCCUUAAAUCCAUACGACAUAAAAAUCACAGAUUUAGAUAUAAGAUGAUGGUAAGACUUUUCUAAAAUAAAUUGAAAGUUAAAAUGAAAACGUGUUUGUUUUCGAGAUAGCCCUCCUGAAAUUGUGUCACCACACAUAACUAUUAGUUAUACAUUUCUAUUCCGACCGUUUUUUGAAUGUUGUAAUAAGCAACCGCGCUAUUGUUUUGAAUUAUUUAUGGAAAUAUAUAACAUGUAUACUGCACUGAAAUGAUGGAUAAUAUGCUCUCAAAGGACCGCGCUUCCGACUUCGUUCAACAGCUUAUAAUACAAUGUAAAAAACAAGGGUAUAUAUUGACCAACAUAUUGACAAAAUGCAAUCUGAAACUAUGAACAUUAAUAAAGGGUUUCAUUAUAUAAAUGUCAACGUUAUUGUAGUUACAGGUGACAAAUCCAGAAAUUUAUAAUAAUCUAGUUGACCUACCGUUUACAUGUGUCUUUAAACGAAACUAAAAGCACAUUUAUGAAAGAAAAACUACCUAAAUAUAGAAGAGAUCAUGACCGAAAGUGCGCAUGUGUAAGAUAUAUUGCAUUUGAAAAACGCUUAAUCAAUAAAGUACCAACACAAUUUACGUAUUAAGUAAGGGGUUAAAAAUUGUCUGUUUCCGCUAACCCUUUCGACUCAAGUAUUUGCGCCGAACCUAAACAUCUUUUCCUAUCCCAGGUUGAGUGUUCAAUCUAUUUUUCUAAAGAAUAUUUGCCCUCCUAAUAAUCAAGUUAAGGAUCGUUUUAUGCAUUUGAUCAUUCGCUUAAUUUAUUAUAAAUUGAUUAAAAUUAACUAAAGAAAUCAUGUUAUUUAAAUAUUUGAAACAUUUCUGUAUGUCUUUUACUAAAAUUGGAAUACAAUAACCUUAAAAAGUGAACCAUAGAAAGUUACUUUGAACUACUUUUCCUGUUUGUUUGAGACAAAGAACUAAUUUUGGCCUAAUGGACAUUUAACAAAACAAUUAUAAAUACAAUAAAAAAACAUACAUAAAAGAAAUGAAUAAAAUGAUUUCAUUUGUUUAUAACAUUUCAUGUAUAUGUUUGUGUAUUUUUUAAUUGUAAUCGUUAUAAAAGUAUGGCUAUUUGAUUUACAAAUUAACAAUAUCAGUAGUGUAUAUUCUAUCACGAUACAGAACAUCAUUGAUAAUACAGCGUGCUAUGUCAUGCACAGAAAAUAUGUUUCCAUCUUUUAAUUCCACAAGAUAUAUGUUCAUCAUAUGAUGCAUCU